GACGAACGCUGGCGGCGUGCUUAACACAUGCAAGUCGAACGGAAAGGCCCUGCUUUUGUGGGGUGCUCGAUUGGCGAACGGGUGAGUAACACGUGAGUAACCUGCCCUUGACUUUGUGAUAACUUCAGGAAACUGGGGCUAAUACCGGAUAGGAGCUCCUGCUGCAUGGUGGGGGUUGGAAAGUUUCGGCGGUUGGGGAUGGACUCGCGGCUUAUCAGCUUGUUGGUGGGGUAGUGGCUUACCGAGGCUUUGACGGGUAGCCGGCCUGAGAGGGUGACCGGCCACAUUGGGACUGAGAUACGGCCCAGACUGGAACGGGAGGCAGCAGUGGGGAAUAUUGCAAAAUGGGCGGAAGCCUGAUGUAGAAACGCCGGGUGCGGGAUGACGGCCUUCGGGUUGUAAACAGAUUUCGCCUGUGACGAAGCGUGAGUGACGGUAAUGGGUAAAGAAGCAACGGCUAACUACGUG
rnacentral:rRNA from 1 species